ACCUGACCCAGCAACGCCGCGUGAAGGAUGAAAUCCCUCGGGAUGUAAACUUCGCAAGAACAGGAAGAAUAAGUAAGGGUUAAUAUCUCUUAUGAUGACGGUACUGUUUGUAAGCUCCGGCUAACUCCGUGCCAGCAGCCGCGGUAAUACGGGGGGAGCAAGCGUUGUUCGGAUUUACUGGGCGUAAAGGGCGCGUAGGCGGCCACCGCAAGUCGACUGUGAAAUCUCCGGGCUUAACCCGGAAAGGUCAGCCGAUACUGCGGGGCUAGAGUGCAGAAGGGGCAACUGGAAUUCUCGGUGUAGCGGUGAAAUGCGUAGAUAUCGAGAGGAACACCUGCGGCGAAGGCGGGUUGCUGGGCUGACACUGACGCUGAGGCGCGAAAGCUAGGGGAGCGAACGGGAUUAGAUACCCCGGUAGUCCUAGCCUUUAAACGAUGAAUGCUUGGUGUCUGGGGUUUUAUAGUCCCCGGGUGCCGUCGCUAACGCUUUAAGCAUUCCGCCUGGGGAGUACGGUCGCAAGACUG
rnacentral:rRNA from 1 species